AAGACAUCCACAUGCAUAUAAAAAUCACCACAUCAAGGCAUUAAUUUUUCUGAAAAUUUUUGCCUCCAAGUGCUAUGCAAAUUAAGCAAUUCACCUUCACUUCCCCCUGGUGGAAAAUAGGCUGAAUCAAGAGAGGACUUACAAACAGGACUUGACAAAGUGUGUAAUUCUUUAGAGCAAUUAGGGUCCCAGCCUGGGACAGGAGCUGUGCACUUCACCACUCUUGCCUGUGUUCAUGUCUUUACGUUCACUUGAGAAGUUUGACAUUGCUCAACUAACAAAAAAUGGCUGAAGCAUUUGAAUGAAGCAAAUGCCAAACAAAAAAUGAACUGUCUCACGAGUCAGCUCUGCAGCUCCUAAGCCAACCCUCUUUCCCUGCAGCCAGCCUGAUGCCACGAUAUUGCCAUGGUUUUGACAGCAAGUCACACCUGAAGAAAGGAAAAGAGAAGCUGUGAAGCCAGACAUUACCUUAGCACAACCACAGCUACGCAGGUGGAAAAAUGACAGGCUGUGCAUCCUCCAUCCUUGGAGAUUUUCAAGACUGGAUAAAACUAUGAGCAAUCUGGUCAGAUCUUCAGCCAACCCUGAUUUCAACAAGAGGUCAUUCUGGAAAACUCCAGG
rnacentral:lncRNA from 1 species